UGGGGGAUCGUCUAACGGUAGGACAUCAGACUCUGGAUCUGAGUGUCCAGGUUCAAAUCCUGGUCCCCCAG
rnacentral:tRNA from 1 species